rnacentral:rRNA from 1 species
AGCGUACACGGUGGAUGCCCUGGCAGUCAGAGGCGAUGAAGGGCGUGCUAAUCUGCGAUAAGCGCCGGUAAGGUGAUAUGAACCGUUAUAACCGGCGAUACCCGAAUGGGGAAACCCAGUGUGACUCGUCACACUAUCAUUAACUGAAUCCAUAGGUUAAUGAGGCGAACCGGGGGAACUGAAACAUCUAAGUACCCCGAGGAAAAGAAAUCAACCGAGAUUCCCCCAGUAGCGGCGAGCGAACGGGGAGGAGCCCAGAGCCUGAAUCAGCAUGUGUGUUAGUGGAAGCGUCUGGAAAGGCGCGCGAUACAGGGUGACAGCCCCGUACACAAAAGCGCAUGUGCUGUGAGCUCGAUGAGUAGGGCGGGACACGUGGUAUCCUGUCUGAAUAUGGGGGGACCAUCCUCCAAGGCUAAAUACUCCUGACUGACCGAUAGUGAACCAGUACCGUGAGGGAAAGGCGAAAAGAACCCCGGCGAGGGGAGUGAAAAAGAACCUGAAACCGUGUACGUACAAGCAGUGGGAGCACAGGUUUACCUGUGUGACUGCGUACCUUUUGUAUAAUGGGUCAGCGACUUAUAUUCUGUAGCAAGGUUAACCGAAUAGGGGAGCCGGAGGGAAACCGAGUCUUAACCGGGCGUUAAGUUGCAGGGUAUAGACCCGAAACCCGGUGAUCUAGCCAUGGGCAGGUUGAAGGUUGGGUAACACUAACUGGAGGACCGAACCGACUAAUGUUGAAAAAUUAGCGGAUGACCUGUGGCUGGGGGUGAAAGGCCAAUCAAACCGGGAGAUAGCUGGUUCUCCCCGAAAGCUAUUUAGGUAGCGCCUCGUGAAUUCAUCUCCGGGGGUAGAGCACUGUUUCGGCUAGGGGGCCAUCCCGGCUUACCAACCCGAUGCAAACUGCGAAUACCGGAGAAUGUUAUCACGGGAGACACACGGCGGGUGCUAACGUCCGUCGUGAAGAGGGAAACAACCCAGACCGCCAGCUAAGGUCCCAAAGUCAUGGUUAAGUGGGAAACGAUGUGGGAAGGCCCAGACAGCCAGGAUGUUGGCUUAGAAGCAGCCAUCAUUUAAAGAAAGCGUAAUAGCUCACUGGUCGAGUCGGCCUGCGCGGAAGAUGUAACGGGGCUAAACCAUGCACCGAAGCUGCGGCAGCGAACGUAUCACCCAAGACAACUUUACGGAGUUGACGAUUGACGGAGCGAAGCGACGUCAAAGCGUUCAUUAAAGUCGAGUUGGCUUAGGGAUACGUUCGUUGGGUAGGGGAGCGUUCUGUAAGCCUGUGAAGGUGUGUCGUGAGGCAUGCUGGAGGUAUCAGAAGUGCGAAUGCUGACAUAAGUAACGAUAAAGCGGGUGAAAAGCCCGCUCGCCGGAAGACCAAGGGUUCCUGUCCAACGUUAAUCGGGGCAGGGUGAGUCGACCCCUAAGGCGAGGCCGAAAGGCGUAGUCGAUGGGAAACGGGUUAAUAUUCCCGUACUUGGUGUUACUGCGAAGGGGGGACGGAGAAGGCUAUGUUGGCCGGGCGACGGUUGUCCCGGUUUAAGCGUGUAGGUGUGUGUUCCAGGUAAAUCCGGUUCACUUUAACACUGAGGCGUGACGACGAGGCACUACGGUGCUGAAGCAACAAAUGCCCUGCUUCCAGGAAAAGCCUCUAAGCAUCAGGUAACAUCAAAUCGUACCCCAAACCGACACAGGUGGUCAGGUAGAGAAUACCAAGGCGCUUGAGAGAACUCGGGUGAAGGAACUAGGCAAAAUGGUGCCGUAACUUCGGGAGAAGGCACGCUGACACGUAGGUGAAGUGAUUUACUCAUGGAGCUGAAGUCAGUCGAAGAUACCAGCUGGCUGCAACUGUUUAUUAAAAACACAGCACUGUGCAAACACGAAAGUGGACGUAUACGGUGUGACGCCUGCCCGGUGCCGGAAGGUUAAUUGAUGGGGUCAGCGCAAGCGAAGCUCCUGAUCGAAGCCCCGGUAAACGGCGGCCGUAACUAUAACGGUCCUAAGGUAGCGAAAUUCCUUGUCGGGUAAGUUCCGACCUGCACGAAUGGCGUAAUGAUGGCCAGGCUGUCUCCACCCGAGACUCAGUGAAAUUGAACUCGCUGUGAAGAUGCAGUGUACCCGCGGCAAGACGGAAAGACCCCGUGAACCUUUACUAUAGCUUGACACUGAACAUUGAGCCUUGAUGUGUAGGAUAGGUGGGAGGCUUUGAAGUGUGGACGCCAGUCUGCAUGGAGCCGACCUUGAAAUACCACCCUUUAAUGUUUGAUGUUCUAACGUGGACCCGUAAUCCGGGUUGCGGACAGUGUCUGGUGGGUAGUUUGACUGGGGCGGUCUCCUCCUAAAGAGUAACGGAGGAGCACGAAGGUUGGCUAAUCCUGGUCGGACAUCAGGAGGUUAGUGCAAUGGCAUAAGCCAGCUUGACUGCGAGCGUGACGGCGCGAGCAGGUGCGAAAGCAGGUCAUAGUGAUCCGGUGGUUCUGAAUGGAAGGGCCAUCGCUCAACGGAUAAAAGGUACUCCGGGGAUAACAGGCUGAUACCGCCCAAGAGUUCAUAUCGACGGCGGUGUUUGGCACCUCGAUGUCGGCUCAUCACAUCCUGGGGCUGAAGUAGGUCCCAAGGGUAUGGCUGUUCGCCAUUUAAAGUGGUACGCGAGCUGGGUUUAGAACGUCGUGAGACAGUUCGGUCCCUAUCUGCCGUGGGCGCUGGAGAACUGAGGGGGGCUGCUCCUAGUACGAGAGGACCGGAGUGGACGCAUCACUGGUGUUCGGGUUGUCAUGCCAAUGGCACUGCCCGGUAGCUAAAUGCGGAAGAGAUAAGUGCUGAAAGCAUCUAAGCACGAAACUUGCCCCGAGAUGAGUUCU